AAUAUGCACGCUCUGCUGUUGCCCUGAACGGAAGCUGGGGAGAACCCUUUAUGGAGGAGUCUUUCCUCCUGCUUUACCAGACAAAGCUUACAUCUUGAGAUUGUGGGGAUUGCAUUGUGCUGGUUCUCCGCAAAGAGCAUCCCUCUGCGAAAUGUGCCAGUGUCCAUGGCAAUGCCUGUCAGAUGUUAUUGGUGGUCUUGGGGAGAUGGAAGAGGACAUCACUACUCCAUUUCCACAGCAAAUGAUCCCUCCCCAUAGGAAGAAUCUCUGGCCCCUUCACAGGGACUGGGGAGAAGAACCUAUUAGCUUGGGUAAUGGAGGUGACAUGAGCUUUUGGCUAUGCUGAAUCAGACGGAGAUCUGAGCAAUAGCAAGAAGGCAUCGUUGUGGCUUUGAAUGAAGAUUCUCCCUUCCCUUUCAGAUCCAUCUCCCACUGUUCCACAAAAUAGGCCAAAAGAAGGUUAUGCUUUCUGGAUGCCAUUAGAGUGGUACUAUGACUGUAUGUGGCUUUCUGCGUAAAGGAAGGGUGCAAAAUCAUCAAUAUUAUGUUUUCAUAUAUAGGAAUUCCCACUGUAACCCUAAAUCCCUGGAUAUACUCAAUAGCCCAACUAUGUCUAUUUGAAAUAAAUCUGAACUCUGAUAACUUCACUCAAAGAAUGGGGUAGAUAUAUUAGCACUAUUGUUUCUUUAAUUGAAAACAUUAGGAGUUUUUUUCCCCUCAAAUUGAAAAUGACAUACUAUGUAUUAAGAUUUUGAAAUGUCUUUUGCUUCAAGGCAUGGCAAUGUAGCAGUGAUUGUGUUUGUGUAAAGAGAUGGGUCUCCUAAUAACAUUUCCUGUUUCUUCACUAAGAAGCCAAAAUGAUGUGGGAACACUUCGGUUGCUUCCUGAGUUAUUCAAACAAAUCCUUAAAAUAAUAUGGCUAAUAUACAAUUUUGAAGUAAAGAAUUGUCCGGGAACAAAAAUCUCCUCAGUUGUGUCCGUGUUAUUAGUAUGGUACCAACAACUUUAUGCCCAAAUGGGCUAGUUUGGCUGUGCUAAGCUGCUUUCACCAGCCUCUAUACCUCAGAACUGUAGUUGAUUUCUUACUUUUUCAAAGGGUAGUAGGGAUUAAUUUCUCAGUUGUGGACCAGCUGGAAACUUGCGUGCGUUUAUAGUGAAAGCACUCAAACUACCAUGACGAGUAUGGUGUAACUCCCUGGAGAGAGAUUUUACCUGCUCUUAGCAUACUGGUAGUUAAGUUUGUUGCUUAAACAAUAAGCCUUUUAGGAACUAACAGCAAUUGUUAGAUUAAGGCAGAGGGCAGACAAGUUCUGUGCCAUCUUUCACAUAGAACAAGACUGUUGAUACGCUGCACUCCUGAUCUCGAGUACACAUGGCACACUAUUCAGUUUUUGGCGUUUCAUGAGCAGAGACAGCCAAUUGUUCCAUAUUUCAUGAUGGUUGAGUCACGGGGACAACAAUCUCUUAGUUCUGGUCAUCUACAAACAUAAUUACUAUUUGCAUUUUAUUAACUAUGUCUAAUGUCUAUUUUCUUCAUUAAACAAUUCUCUUUAUCUUGUA